GCUUCUGUGGAUCAUGGUGGUCACCUCAUUUCAAUAUGACCUCGAGUAGACGGGAAAUUUAGUGAGGAGGCGGAGGUUCAAUUCCUUCCAGAGGCA